rnacentral:rRNA from 1 species
AAACUAAACCAUUAAAAGCUAUAUUCUUCAAAUUUUAAGGAUUUGGCAGUAAUUUAGUCCAGUUGGAGGAACCUGUUAAAUAAACGAUAAACCACGUAAAAUCUUACCUAUUUUUAAAGUUUGUAUACCGUCAUUAUUAGAUUACUCUUAAAAGAUAAGUUAUUUUGAUAACUUUCAAAUUAAUAUAUUAGAUCAAGGUGCAGCUAAUAAAUAGGCUAUAAUGGGUUACAAUAAACCUUAUUUACACGAAUUUUUAACUUAAAUGUUUUUUUAAAGGAGGAUUCAAUAGUAAAAUUAAUUUAAUAAGUUAUUUUGAUAACGGACCUAGAUUAAGUACAUAUCGCCCGUCACUUUCAA